GACAGAGGGUGCAAACGUUGUUCGGAUUCAUUGGGCGUAAAGGGCGCGUAGGCGGCGGGGUAAGUCUGGUGUGAAAUCUCGGAGCUCAACUCCGAAAUUGCACUGGAUACUGCUCUGCUAGAGGGCUGGAGAGGAGAUCGGAAUUCACGGUGUAGCAGUGAAAUGCGUAGAUAUCGUGAGGAAGACCAGUGGCGAAGGCGGAUCUCUGGACAGUUCCUGACACUGAGACACGAAGGCCAGGGGAGCAAACGGG
rnacentral:rRNA from 1 species